rnacentral:rRNA from 1 species
GCCAUCAUUUAAAGAAAGCGUAAUAGCUCACUGGUCGAGUCGGCCUGCGCGGAAGAUGUAACGGGGCUAAACCAUGCACCGAAGCUGCGGCAGCGAACGUAUCACUUAAAGCGAUUCAGCGGAUGACGAUUGACGGAGCGAAGCGACGUCAAAGCGUAUACAAAGUCGAGUCGGUUUAAGGAUACGUUCGUUGGGUAGGGGAGCGUUCUGUAAGCCUGCGAAGGUGGCCUGUGAGGGUUGCUGGAGGUAUCAGAAGUGCGAAUGCUGACAUAAGUAACGAUAAAGCGGGUGAAAAGCCCGCUCGCCGGAAGACCAAGGGUUCCUGUCCAACGUUAAUCGGGGCAGGGUGAGUCGACCCCUAAGGCGAGGCCGAAAGGCGUAGUCGAUGGGAAACGGGUUAAUAUUCCCGUACUUGGUGUUACUGCGAAGGGGGGACGGAGAAGGCUAUGUUGGCCGGGCGACGGUUGUCCCGGUUUAAGCGUGUAGGUGUGUGUUCCAGGUAAAUCCGGUUCACUUUAACACUGAGGCGUGAUGACGAGGCACUACGGUGCUGAAGCAACAAAUGCCCUGCUUCCAGGAAAAGCCUCUAAGCAUCAGGUAACAUCAAAUCGUACCCCAAACCGACACAGGUGGUCAGGUAGAGAAUACCAAGGCGCUUGAGAGAACUCGGGUGAAGGAACUAGGCAAAAUGGUGCCGUAACU